rnacentral:rRNA from 1 species
AUUGAACGCUGGCGGCAUGCUUUACACAUGCCAGUCGAACGGCAGCGCGGGCUUCGGCCUGGCGGCGAGUGGCGAACGGGUGAGUAAUGCAUCGGAACGUGCCCAGUAGUGGGGGAUAGCCCGGCGAAAGCCGGAUUAAUACCGCAUACGACCUGAGGGUGAAAGCGGGGGACCGAAAGGCCUCGCGCUAUUGGAGCGGCCGAUGUCGGAUUAGCUAGUUGGUGGGGUAAAGGCCUACCAAGGCGACGAUCCGUAGCUGGUCUGAGAGGACGACCAGCCACACUGGGACUGAGACACGGCCCAGACUCCUACGGGAGGCAGCAGUGGGGAAUUUUGGACAAUGGGGGCAACCCUGAUCCAGCCAUGCCGCGUGCGGGAAGAAGGCCUUCGGGUUGUAAACCGCUUUUGUUCGGGAAGAAAUCCUCUGGGCUAAUACCCCGGGGGGAUGACGGUACCGGAAGAAUAAGCACCGGCUAACUACGUG